rnacentral:tRNA from 1 species
GAGGAUGUAUCUCAGUGGUAGAGUGCAUGCUUAGCACGCGUGAGGUCCUGGGUUCCAUUGCCAGUACCUCCA